rnacentral:rRNA from 1 species
UGCUCUUGCAAAACACGAAUAAGAGGUCCCGCCUGCCCUGUGACUAUAAGUUUAACGGCCGCGGUAUUUUGACCGUGCGAAGGUAGCGCAAUCACUUGUCUUUUAAAUGGAGACCUGUAUGAAUGGCACGACGAGGGCUUAGCUGUCUCCUUUUUCCAGUCAAUGAAAUUGAUCUCCCCGUGCAGAAGCGGGGAUUUACACAUAAGACGAGAAGACCCUAUGGAGCUUUAGACACCAAGACAGAUCAUGUUAAACACCCCUAAAUAUAGGACUAAACCAGAUGAAUCCUGCCCUAGUGUCUUUGGUUGGGGCGACCGCGGGGAAACACAAAACCCCCACGUGGAAUGGGAAUACCCCUCCUACAACCUAGAGCCCCCGCUCUAGUAAACAGAAUUUCUGACCAAACAGAUCCGGCAACGCCGAUCAACGGACCGAGUUACCCUAGGGAUAACAGCGCAAUCCCCUUCUAGAGCCCAUAUCGACAAGGGGGUUUACGACCUCGAUGUUGGAUCAGGACAUCCUAAUGGUGCAGCCGCUAUUAAGGGUUCGUUUGUUCAACGAUUAAAG